rnacentral:rRNA from 1 species
GUCGAACGAGAAAGCCGAAAGCUUGCUUUUGGCGAGUAGAGUGGCGCACGGGUGAGUAACGCGUGGGUAAUCUGCCUUCGAACCGGGGAUAACACUUCGAAAGGGGUGCUAAUACCGGAUGACAUCCAGGUGUCUUCGGGCGCUUGGAUCAAAGAUGGCCUCUCCAUGGAAGCUGUUGUUCGAAGAUGAGCCCGCGUCCCAUUAGCUUGUUGGUGGGGUAAAGGCCCACCAAGGCGACGAUGGGUAGCUGGUCUGAGAGGAUGAUCAGCCACACUGGCACUGACACACGGGUCAGACUCCUACGGGAGGUAGCAGUGAGGAAUUUUGCGCAAUGGGGGUAACCCUGACGCAGCAACGCCGCGUGAGUGAAGAAGGCCUUCGGUUCGUAAAGCUCUGUCGAGUGGGAAGAACCCGCAUCAGGUGACCAAGGCUGAUGCGCUGACGGUACCACUGGAGUGAUGCACCGGCUAACUCCGUGCCAGCAGCCCGCGGUUAAUACGGGAGGUUGCUAGCGUUAUUCGGAAUUACUGGGCGUAAAGGGCGCGCAGGCGGCCUGGUAAGUCAGUAGUGAAAGCCNCGGGGCUCAACCCCCGGAAAGUGCUGCUGAAACUGUUGGGCUUGAGUAUGGUAGAGGGAAGCGGAAUUCCUGGUGUAGCGGUGAAAUGCGUAGAUAUCAGGAGGAACACCGGUGGCGAAGGCGGCUUCCUGGACCAAUACUGACGCUGAGGCGCGAAGGCGUGGGUAGCAAACAGGAUUAGAUACCCUGGUAGUCCACGCAGUAAACGGUGAUCACUAGGUGUUGCGGGUAUUGAUACUUGCAGUGCCGGAGCUAACGCAUUAAGUGAUCCGCCUGGGGAGUACGGCCGCAAGGUUAAAACUCAAAGGAAUUGACGGGGGCCCGCACAAGCGGUGGAGCAUGUGGUUUAAUUCGACGCAACGCGAAGAACCUUACCUGGGUUUGACAUCUGGGGGAUCCCAUGGAAACAUGGGGGUGCCCUUCGGGGAGCCCCAAGACAGGUGCUGCAUGGCUGUCGUCAGCUCGUGUCGUGAGAUGUUGGGUUAAGUCCCGCAACGAGCGCAACCCCUGUCUUCAGUUACCAGCGAUUCGGUCGGGGACUCUGAAGAUACUGCCCCGGUUAACGGGGAGGAAGGUGGGGAUGACGUCAAGUCCUCAUGGCCUUUAUGCCCAGGGCUACACACGUGCUACAAUGGGCGGUACAGAGGGUAGCGAGAUCGCGAGAUGGAGCCAAUCCCAAAAAGCCGUCCUCAGUUCGGAUUGGAGUCUGCAACUCGACUCCAUGAAGUUGGAAUCGCUAGUAAUCGCGGAUCAGCAUGCCGCGGUGAAUACUUCCCGGGC